GGCCCCACAGGCUGCAACAAGUUCCUGGGUGAAGCCAGGGCUGCUGAGCCUUAGACUAUGCUUUCAGUAGCAAAGGCUGGAACAGAAUCGCUUGUCUGCAUGCAUCAUGGAUUUUUUUCAGAGCCUACCAGAAGGCAAGGGAGCAGCUGGAGCGCACACACAAAGCUCCUUUCCAUCCUCAAAAAUAGCUGUGUGUUUUUCUGGGGUGAUCUAAUAGCCUGAGCAGAGAACAUUGUGGCAAUGUCCUUAGUCAUUCAUUCUGAGCGCUUCAUUUGUUCUGGACAAUUACUCGGACUCUCUGCACUUUGAGCUCAGAACUCUCUGUCUCGUCUUGCUCUCUGUGUACUUAGUAACCAAAUAGGCGUUGAAAUUCUUUUUUCCUGCUGUCUUGAGCAGGAUAGAUUUCUCCAGAACUCUUGAGGGUGACACCAAACCAACAACUUCACAUUCUUCAAAAAUGAUCACCGUGUUGUGGUUUGGUUAAUUUAGGGAUGUGAAGGAAGGCUGCAAAUAAACAAACAGGUUCAUUUAAAUUGAUAGUGCAGAGACAAACACAGGACUCUUCCAGCCUUCGUUUUGUCAAUAUAGGACACGUAUACACCAUUGUAUAGUAUAAAUGAAAUGGUAAAUGUAUUUAGCACAGUGUCUAUCUAGCACACAGGAAGCAUCCGAUAUACAGCAGCUAUUAUUAUCAAAAUAUGUACUUGUCAAGCUGUGAGAGUGAACUAACAUGUGAAAAGCACUUAGAAUCGCACACGGCAGAUGCCAAUCACACUACAGCAAUCAUGUAUAUGCAAGUUCGUGUUCCCCUGUGCGCAGUGAGAGCAGAUAAACUGAAAUGUCAGAGUCUGGGGCAGAGAAAGGUUUAUUGCAAGGUCACACAAGGAGACGAGGUGGCUCAUGCCCUGAAAAGCCCUGAGCUCCCUGAAAGGUUUUGGCAGAGCAUUUUUAAAGGGCAGGUGAAGAGGAGGUCGAAAGGUAGUGAUCAGCUUGUGCACGGCCAAUUCUCUGAUUGGCUGAUGUUGAGACAGUCAGGUGGUAUCACAGAGGUUAUCAGUCCUUGGGCUCCAGGAGGCCUGAGGCUGUGUGCUCAUGGUCAGCAAGUACUUCCUCCAUCUGAGGGGGCAGGUGGUUCCCAUCUGCAAAACAGCUCAGGAAAUGUCCAUCAGAUACUAUUAUCUAGGUACUCCAGAUAGGGGCUAAAGCAGAGGGUAUGGCGGCGGGGGCCGUGGUGGUCUGUCCUGGGAAGGCCCCAUAGGGUUCUUGUUGUUCAGUCUCUAAGCCCUGUCCAACUUUUCGCAACCCCAUGAACUGCAGCACGCCAUGCUUCCCUGUCCUUCACUUCCUACCGGAGUUUUUGUUCAGAUUCACGUCCACUGAGUCGGUGAUGCCAUCCAACCAUAGGGUCCUGCUUGGUUAUAAUCAUGUGAUGAUGAUAAUGAGGAAGAGGGUAUAACGAUGAUGAGCUUCCAUUCCCUUUUCUCUCAAUAGAAUUGUCUUCCUAUGAUGAGACUUCAGGAGGAUUAAGGAGGUAAUCUGCUGCAAUGCAGGACACCUGGGUUCCAUCCAUGGGUUGGGAAGAUUCCCUGGAGAAGGGAAUGGCCACCCACUCUAGUGUUCUUGCCUGGAGAACUCCAUGGACAGAGGAGCCUGGCCAGGGUACAGCCCAUGGGUUCGCAAAGAGUCGGACACCACUGAGCAACUAUGCUUGCACUGAAGGAGGUCAGGUAACAUGCUUAAGCUCAUUUUGACAACCAACAAUUACAACGAGGUGAUUCACCAUCAGACCUAAGGAUGAACUUACUAAUAUUAAAAGG
ensembl:lncRNA